rnacentral:rRNA from 1 species
GAUGAACGCCGGCGGUGUGCCUAAUACAUGCAAGUCGAACGCGUUGGCCCAACUGAUUGAACGUGCUUGCACGGACUUGACGUUGGUUUACCAACGAGUGGCGGACGGGUGAGUAACACGUAGGUAACCUGCCCCAAAGCGGGGGAUAACAUUUGGAAACAGAUGCUAAUACCGCAUAACAAUUUGAAUCGCAUGAUUCAAAUUUAAAAGAUGGCUUCGGCUAUCACUUUGGGAUGGACCUGCGGCGCAUUAGCUUGUUGGUAGGGUAACGGCCUACCAAGGCUGUGAUGCGUAGCCGAGUUGAGAGACUGAUCGGCCACAAUGGAACUGAGACACGGUCCAUACUCCUACGGGAGGCAGCAGUAGGGAAUCUUCCACAAUGGGCGCAAGCCUGAUGGAGCAACACCGCGUGAGUGAAGAAGGGUUUCGGCUCGUAAAGCUCUGUUGUUAGAGAAGAACAUGCGUGAGAGCAACUGUUCACGCAGUGACGGUAUCUAACCAGAAAGUCACGGCUAACUACGUGCCAGCAGCCGCGGUAAUACGUAGGUGGCAAGCGUUAUCCGGAUUUAUUGGGCGUAAAGCGAGCGCAGGCGGUUUGAUAAGUCUGAUGUGAAAGCCU